UAAAUACUCCUGACUGACCGAUAGUGAACCAGUACCGUGAGGGAAAGGCGAAAAGAACCCCGGCGAGGGGAGUGAAAAAGAACCUGAAACCGUGUACGUACAAGCAGUGGGAGCCUCUUAAUGGGGUGACUGCGUACCUUUUGUAUAAUGGGUCAGCGACUUAUAUUCUGUAGCAAGGUUAACCGAAUAGGGGAGCCGAAGGGAAACCGAGUCUUAACUGGGCGUUAAGUUGCAGGGUAUAGACCCGAAACCCGGUGAUCUAGCCAUGGGCAGGUUGAAGGUUGGGUAACACUAACUGGAGGACCGAACCGACUAAUGUUGAAAAAUUAGCGGAUGACUUGUGGCUGGGGGUGAAAGGCCAAUCAAACCGGGAGAUAGCUGGUUCUCCCCGAAAGCUAUUUAGGUAGCGCCUCGUGAAUUCAUCUCCGGGGGUAGAGCACUGUUUCGGCAAGGGGGUCAUCCCGACUUACCAACCCGAUGCAAACUGCGAAUACCGGAGAAUGUUAUCACGGGAGACACACGGCGGGUGCUAACGUCCGUCGUGAAGAGGGAAACAACCCAGACCGCCAGCUAAGGUCCCAAAGUCAUGGUUAAGUGGGAAACGAUGUGGGAAGGCCCAGACAGCCAGGAUGUUGGCUUAGAAGCAGCCAUCAUUUAAAGAAAGCGUAAUAGCUCACUGGUCGAGUCGGCCUGCGCGGAAGAUGUAACGGGGCUAAACCAUGCACCGAAGCUGCGGCAGCGACACUAUGUGUUGUUGGGUAGGGGAGCGUUCUGUAAGCCUGUGAAGGUGGCCUGUGAGGGUUGCUGGAGGUAUCAGAAGUGCGAAUGCUGACAUAAGUAACGAUAAAGCGGGUGAAAAGCCCGCUCGCCGGAAGACCAAGGGUUCCUGUCCAACGUUAAUCGGGGCAGGGUGAGUCGACCCCUAAGGCGAGGCCGAAAGGCGUAGUCGAUGGGAAACAGGUUAAUAUUCCUGUACUUGGUGUUACUGCGAAGGGGGGACGGAGAAGGCUAUGUUGGCCGGGCGACGGUUGUCCCGGUUUAAGCGUGUAGGCUGGUUUUCCAGGCAAAUCCGGAAAACCAAGGCUGAGGCGUGAUGACGAGGCACUACGGUGCUGAAGCGACAAAUGCCCUGCUUCCAGGAAAAGCCUCUAAGCAUCAGGUAACAUCAAAUCGUACCCCAAACCGACACAGGUGGUCAGGUAGAGAAUACCAAGGCGCUUGAGAGAACUCGGGUGAAGGAACUAGGCAAAAUGGUGCCGUAACUUCGGGAGAAGGCACGCUGAUAUGUAGGUGAAGCGACUUGCUCGUGGAGCUGAAAUCAGUCGAAGAUACCAGCUGGCUGCAACUGUUUAUUAAAAACACAGCACUGUGCAAACACGAAAGUGGACGUAUACGGUGUGACGCCUGCCCGGUGCCGGAAG
rnacentral:rRNA from 1 species